AAGCCUUGGGGUGUAAACACGUUAGGUUGCAAACCUAAAGAAGCAGGUUAAUUCCCUGCCGGGGCUUC
rnacentral:tRNA from 1 species